UACGGGAGGCAGCAGUGGGGAAUAUUGCACAAUGGGCGCAAGCCUGAUGCAGCCAUGCCGCGUGUAUGAAGAAGGCCUUCGGGUUGUAAAGUACUUUCAGUCGUGAGGAAGGUGUUAAGGUUAAUAACCUUAGCAAUUGACGUUAGCGACAGAAGAAGCACCGGCUAACUCCGUGCCAGCAGCCGCGGUAAUACGGAGGGUGCGAGCGUUAAUCGGAAUUACUGGGCGUAAAGGGCACGCAGGCGGUUAAUUAAGUUGGAUGUGAAAUCCCCGGGCUUAACCUGGGAAUGGCAUUCAAGACUGGUUAGCUAGAGUCUUGUAGAGGGGGUAGAAUUCCAUGUGUAGCGGUGAAAUGCGUAGAGAUGUGGAGGAAUACGGUGGCGAAGGCGGCCCCUGGACAAAGACUGACGCUCAUGUGCGAAAGCGGUGGGGAGACAAACGAGGGAUUAGAUACC
rnacentral:rRNA from 1 species